GAAGACGUUCUUUGGCGGAGACGGAUUGGCGGCAGCGAGAAAGCAGUGCAGGUGUGCGAGUUACUUUCAGGCUUUGAAAAACCUGGCAAUGAAUUAUUCUGGCUGAGUUCUGUCGCUUAUCAAGCAAAAAUCUGAGUUGCAAUCAGAGUUCUUCAAAGAUCUCGACAAAUACACUCCUCGCUUCCUGGAGAAGUUCAAAACCCAGAGGGGGAAAGUGUCGGACAGAAACUUGAAUAUCUGCAACAAGUCACACCUGGGAUGUGACUGGGAGGUGAACAGUAGUCCUCCGUGGCUCUCCCGUCAACCUUGUAGAUGACAAUGCAGACUUCUUCAAGAAUUUGAGGUUCAGGAGCAGCCAAUAUGAUGCAGGUGUGACGGCUGAAGAUGGCAGGUACCUGUUCAGCCUCCUGUGGUAGGAGCACAUUUCCCAGAAGCAGCAGUGACAAAGAAAUGUGGAUGUUUACCACGAAUAUGGUUGGUUGCCCACGUAUUAAACUUUGGUCUUUCUUUAUUGAAGGUGUGAGUUUAGGAUGGCGUGAAGCUUCGACUUGACCCCAUGGAAACACAGCAGAAGCCACGAACGGGUCCUGAUCGGGGACUCUGAUGACCUUCUGGACGUGUCCCACACCUCCAUUGGGACCCUGACGGUGCUGAAGACAUCGUGGCCUCCUCACUCGCUGGACCUGGAGUCUGCAACUACUGCCAUCGUUUUGGGAGGAACAGUCGUGAUGGGUGACCGUGAUAAUCUUCCCUGUGCCGUGUGGCUACUCUUCAGACUUAUUUACCCCUGAAUUUGGAGUAUCCUCAACGAGUGAGGAACACCUUCUGAAUUUAUUCAUAGAGUGCUUCUCACUUGGACCAAAAACCCUAAAAUACAAUCACUCAAAAAUCUACUGAUGCCAUAAAAGACUGUGUUCAUGAUGUGCAGUCAGGCCCGAGAACUUCACCCUUCUAUCUCCAAUUGAACUCUUUUCUAGAACAUGUCUGUUUUUGUUGUUUUCCUGUCGUGAAAUUUAGCAAAUGCCGAAAACGCUGUGUCCAUCAUAUUUCUGCGUUACAAAACCUAAUCUGGCAACAUGUUCAGCGUUUUAAGCACGUUUGAGUUUUAAAACAUGUGUUUUUCUUCUAAAUAAACGUUGUCUUCCAUUGUAA